rnacentral:rRNA from 1 species
UACGGAGGGUGCGAGCGUUGUCCGGAAUCAUUGGGCGUAAAGGGCGCGUAGGUGGCGGGACAAGCGUGCGGUGAAAGCCUGGGGCUCAACCCCGGGUCGGCCGUGCGAACUGUUUUGCUUGAGCACUGUAGAGGCAGGCGGAAUUCCGGGUGUAGCGGUGGAAUGCGUAGAGAUCCGGAGGAAGACCGGUGGCGAAGGCGGUCUGCUGGGCAGUUUCUGACACUGAUGCGCGACAGCGUGGGGAGCAAACAGG